UACGUAGGGUGCGAGCGUUAAUCGGAAUUACUGGGUGUAAAGCGUGCGCAGGCGGUGAUGUAAGACAGGUGUGAAAUCCCCGGGCUUAACCUGGGAACUGCAUUUGUGACUGCAUCGCUGGAGUGCGGCAGAGGGGGAUGGAAUUCCGCGUGUAGCAGUGAAAUGCGUAGAUAUGCGGAGGAACACCGAUGGCGAAGGCAAUCCCCUGGGCCUGCACUGACGCUCAUGCACGAAAGCGUGGGGAGCAAACAGG
rnacentral:rRNA from 1 species